rnacentral:rRNA from 1 species
AGAGUUUGAUCCUGGCUCAGAUUGAUCGCUGGCGGCAGGCCUAACACAUGCUAGUCGAACGGCAACGACACUGGCUUGCAUGGGGUCCACCAGUGGCGAACGGGUGACUAACGCCUACGAAUCUCCCCAGUACUCGGGGGAUAUGCCAAGGUCAAACUUUGGGACUCACCCCAUACAAUCUAGGGUUCAAUGGGGGCGUCUAUUUCAGGCUUUCUCUAUUAAAUUAACCUGCCCACCAUCACCUGGUUGGUGGGGAAAUGGUCCAAUUAGGCCACGAUCUUUUCCUGGUAUCACAGGAGCAGCAACCACAUUGGACCGGACACUCUCUCCAGACUCCUACGGUAGACAUCAGUCUGAAAUAUUGAACAUUGGGCGAAACCCUGAUCGCUCCAUGCCCCUUGGGUCAUCAACGCCCUCGGGUUGUGAAUCGCUCUUGGUAUCGACCAAUGCUCAAUAUUCACUA